UACGGGGGGAGCAAGCGUUGUUCGGAUUUACUGGGCGUAAAGGGCGCGUAGGCGGUCAGCACAAGUCAGUUGUGAAAUCUCCGGGCUUAACUCGGAACGGUCAACUGAUACUGUGCGACUAGAGUGCAGAAGGGGGCAACUGGAAUUCUCGGUGUAGCGGUGAAAUGCGUAGAUAUCGAGAGGAACACCUGCGGCGAAGGCGGGUUGCUGGGCUGACACUGACGCUGAGGCGCGAAAGCCAGGGGAGCGAACGGG
rnacentral:rRNA from 1 species